GUAGGUGAACCUGCGGAAGGAUCAUUAACACGUAUCCAACUGGAGUUGAUUCAGGGACCUUUGUUUGGGUGAGAAGUUACAGCUGCAAUCGAGAGAUCGUCGCUUGGUUGAGCCUGCUCCGUAAAGUCCCCCGCGUGCAUUGGAAAGUGGCAUUGGGGUGUAUGUACUGGAGAAACCCCUCUGGAUGAUAGAAGGCCAUCACGGCCUGUCACCGCUGCCUUCCGGGUGAACGUGCCCCCCAGGAUGUCCCCGCUACCAGUCGAAACGACCAACCUGUGCAACCAUUGCGUGUUGAGCCCAUGGGCGUCGUAAACCGAAAUACUUUGAACAACUGUUAACAAUGGAUAUCUUGGUUCUC
rnacentral:misc_RNA from 1 species